rnacentral:tRNA from 2 species
GCCUCCAUAGCUCAGUGGAUAGAGCAGCUGCCUUCUAAGCAGUAGGUCGCAGGUUCGAAUCCUGCUGGAGGCGCCG